UGCUGGAGGUAUCAGAAGUGCGAAUGCUGACAUAAGUAACGAUAAAGCGGGUGAAAAGCCCGCUCGCCGGAAGACCAAGGGUUCCUGUCCAACGUUAAUCGGGGCAGGGUGAGUCGACCCCUAAGGCGAGGCCGAAAGGCGUAGUCGAUGGGAAACGGGUUAAUAUUCCCGUACUUGGUGUUACUGCGAAGGGGGGACGGAGAAGGCUAUGUUGGCCGGGCGACGGUUGUCCCGGUUUAAGCGUGUAGGCUGGUUUUCCAGGCAAAUCCGGAAAAUCAAGGCUGAGGCGUGACGACGAGGCACUACGGUGCUGAAGCAACAAAUGCCCUGCUUCCAGGAAAAGCCUCUAAGCAUCAGGUAACAUCAAAUCGUACCCCAAACCGACACAGGUGGUCAGGUAGAGAAUACCAAGGCGCUUGAGAGAACUCGGGUGAAGGAACUAGGCAAAAUGGUGCCGUAACUUCGGGAGAAGGCACGCUGACACGUAGGUGAAGUGAUUUACUCAUGGAGCUGAAGUCAGUCGAAGAUACCAGCUGGCUGCA
rnacentral:rRNA from 1 species